GGGUUUAGGGAGUGUAGGCUUUGCCUGCUAUCUCUUACCCAUGUCUUUUGAGUACCUUCGUUUCCUCGGCGGGUCCGCCCGCCGACUGGACAAUUUAAACCAUUUGCAGUUGCAAUCAGCGUCUGAAAAAACUUAAUAAUUACAACUUUCAACAACGGAUCUCUUGGUUCUGGCAUCGAUGAAGAACGCAGCGAAAUGCGAUAAGUAGUGUGAAUUGCAGAAUUCAGUGAAUCAUCGAAUCUUUGAACGCACAUUGCGCCCCUUGGUAUUCCAUGGGGCAUGCCUGUUCGAGCGUCAUUUGUACCUUCAAGCUUUGCUUGGUGUUGGGUGUUUGUCUCGCCUCCGCGUGUAGACUCGCCUCAAAACAAUUGGCAGCCGGCGUAUUGAUUUCGGAGCGCAGUACAUCUCGCGCUUUGCACUCAUAACGACGACGUCCAAAAGUACAUUUUUACACUCUUGACCUCGGAUCAGGUAGGGAUACCCGCUGAACUUAAGCAUAUCAAAA
rnacentral:rRNA from 1 species